UUAAUUAAUUCGUGAUCUCCGUCCACUAAGCAUCGUUCACGCCAGUCUGCCAUAUCGUUUCCAAGGUCCUUCCAUAGUUUGUGACAAAAUGGAAUAUUUUUGUUGCCAACAACAAUAAUUCCACCAAAAAAUAACAAGGUAAUGAUUGAAAGAAAAAGUUUCGUUGCCAAAAUUACGGAACAUUUUAUUUCAUUGUGGUUGGCUUUCUCGAAGCGGUGUUCCAUCUAAAAGAUGGAAUAAUGUAGUUUAUUUUGAAAUUAUUGACAACAAACCAUUGUGAUUCGUAACUAAUUCUUAUAAAUGAAAUCGAUUUCUUAAUUACGGACGGAGCGGGGGGUCGCGUAAAACUGAAGAGAUUCAUCGAUGGUUAUUUUGCGUUCUUGAUGUCACAAGAGAUAUGCGGAGAGAGAUUGUUGACAAUAGCUAAUGAACUUAACAAU